CCUACGUGCGGCAGCAGUGGGGAAUAUUGGACAAUGGGCGAAAGCCUGAUCCAGCCAUGCCGCGUGUGUGAAGAAGGCCUUCGGGUUGUAAAGCACUUUCAGUGGGGAAGAAAGCCUUGGGGCUAAUACCCUCGAGGAAGGACAUCACCCACAGAAGAAGCACCGGCUAACUCCGUGCCAGCAGCCGCGGUAAUACGGAGGGUGCGAGCGUUAAUCGGAAUUACUGGGCGUAAAGCGCGCGUAGGCGGUCUGAUAAGCCGGUUGUGAAAGCCCCGGGCUCAACCUGGGAACGGCAUCCGGAACUGUCAGGCUAGAGUGCAGGAGAGGAAGGUAGAAUUCCCGGUGUAGCGGUGAAAUGUGUAGAGAUCGGGAGGAAUACCAGUGGCGAAGGCGGCCUUCUGGACUGACACUGACGCUGAGGUGCGAAAGCGUGGGUAGCAAACAGGAUUAGAUACCCCUGUAGUC
rnacentral:rRNA from 1 species